rnacentral:rRNA from 1 species
GACGAACGCUGGCGGCGUGCCUAAUACAUGCAAGUCGAACGCAUUUUCUUUCACCGUAGCUUGCUACACCGAAAGAAAAUGAGUGGCGAACGGGUGAGUAACACGUGGGUAACCUGCCCAUCAGCGGGGGAUAACACUUGGAAACAGGUGCUAAUACCGCAUAAUUCCAUUUACUGCAUGGUAGAUGGAUGAAAGGCGCUUUUGCGUCACUGAUGGAUGGACCCGCGGUGCAUUAGCUAGUUGGUGGGGUAACGGCCUACCAAGGCUGCGAUGCAUAGCCGACCUGGGAGGGUGCUCGGCCACCCUGGGACUGGGACACGGCCCAGACUCCUCCGGGAGGCAGCAGUAGGGAAUCUUCGGCAAUGGACGCAAGUCUGACCGAGCAACGCCGCGUGAGUGAAGAAGGUUUUCGGAUCGUAAAACUCUGUUGUUAGAAAAGAACAAGGAUGAGAGUGGAAAGUUCAUCCCUUGACGGUAUCUAACCAGAAAGCCACGGCUAACUACGUG